rnacentral:rRNA from 1 species
GACGAACGCUGGCGGCGUGCUUAACACAUGCAAGUCGAACGGAAAGGCCCCUUUGGGGGUACUCGAGUGGCGAAUGGGUGAGUAACACGUGAGUAACCUGCCCUUGACUUCGGGAUAACUUCAGGAAACUGGGGCUAAUACCGGAUAGGAAUCCUUGCUGCAUGGUGGGGGUUGGAAAGCUUCGGCGGUUUUGGAUGGACUCGCGGCUUAUCAGCUUGUUGGUGGGGUAGUGGCUUACCAAGGCUUUGACGGGUAGCCGGCCUGAGAGGGCGACCGGCCACAUUGGGACUGAGAUACGGCCCAGACUCCUACGGGAGGCAGCAGUGGGGAAUAUUGCACAAUGGGCGGAAGCCUGAUGCAGCAACGCCGCGUGCGGGAUGACGGCCUUCGGGUUGUAAACCGCUUUCAGCAGGGGCGAAGCUUGUGGUGACGGUACCUGCAGAAGAAGCACCGGCUAACUACGUG